rnacentral:hammerhead_ribozyme from 1 species
CUGCCACUGAGGAGUCCCACAACAGGACGAAACGGCCGUCAAAAAG